rnacentral:rRNA from 1 species
GAGGAAAAGAAACCAACAGGGAUUGCCUCAGUAACGGCGAGUGAAGCGGCAACAGCUCAAAUUUGAAAUCUGGCCUCACGGUCCGAGUUGUAAUUUGUAGAGGAUGCUUUUGGCGAGGUGCUUUCCGAGUUCCCUGGAACGGGACGCCAUAGAGGGUGAGAGCCCCGUACGGUAAGACCACCGAGCCUCUGUAAAGCUCCUUCGACGAGUCGAGUAGUUUGGGAAUGCUGCUCUAAAUGGGAGGUGUACGUCUUCUAAAGCUAAAUACCGGCCAGAGACCGAUAGCGCACAAGUAGAGUGAUCGAAAGAUGAAAAGCACUUUGAAAAGAGGGUUAAAAAGUACGUGAAAUUGUUGAAAGGGAAGCAUUCAUGACCAGACUUGGGCUUGGUUGAACAUCCGGCGUUCUCGCCGGUGCACUCUGCCAGUCCAGGCCAGCAUCAGUUUGCCCCGGGGGACAAAGGCGGUGGGAAUGUGGCUCUCUUCGGGGAGUGUUAUAGCCCGCCGUGUAAUGCCCUGGGGUGGACUGAGGAACGCGCUUCGGCACGGAUGCUG